GCCUACGGGGCGCAGCAGUGAGGAAUAUUGGUCAAUGGGCGCGAGCCUGAACCAGCCAAGUCGCGUGAGGGAAGACGGUCCUAUGGAUUGUAAACCUCUUUUGUCGGGGAGCAAAAAGGCCUCGUGAGGUCACAAGUGAGAGUACCCGAAGAAAAAGCAUCGGCUAACUCCGUGCCAGCAGCCGCGGUAAUACGGAGGAUGCGAGCGUUAUCCGGAUUUAUUGGGUUUAAAGGGUGCGUAGGCGGAAUAUCAAGUCAGCGGUAAAAAUUCGGGGCUCAACCCCGUCGUGCCGGUGAAACUGAGGU
rnacentral:rRNA from 1 species